CUGGCGGCGUGCCUAACACAUGCAAGUCGAACGGAACUGUUUUGAAAGAUUUCUUCGGAAUGAAUUUGAUUUAGUUUAGUGGCGGACGGGUGAGUAACGCGUGAGUAACCUGCCUUCAAGAGGGGGAUAACAUUCUGAAAAGAAUGCUAAUACCGCAUGACAUAUCGGAACCACAUGGUUUUGAUAUCAAAGAUUCUAUCGCUUGAAGAUGGACUCGCGUCCGAUUAGUUAGUUGGUGAGGUAACGGCUCACCAAGACCGCGAUCGGUAGCCGGACUGAGAGGUUGAACGGCCACAUUGGGACUGAGACACGGCCCAGACUCCUACGGGAGGCAGCAGUGGGGGAUAUUGCGCAAUGGGGGCAACCCUGACGCAGCAACGCCGCGUGAAGGAUGAAGGUUUUCGGAUUGUAAACUUCUUUUAUUAAGGACGAAACUUGACGGUACUUAAUGAAUAAGCUCCGGCUAACUACGUGCCAGCAGCCGCGGUAAUACGUAGGGAGCAAGCGUUGUCCGGAUUUACUGGGUGUAAAGGGUGCGUAGGCGGCUUUGCAAGUCAGAUGUGAAAUCUAUGGGCUCAACCCAUAAACUGCAUUUGAAACUGUAGAGCUUGAGUGAAGUAGAGGCAGGCGGAAUUCCCCGUGUAGCGGUGAAAUGCGUAGAGAUGGGGAGGAACACCAGUGGCGAAGGCGGCCUGCUGGGCUUUAACUGACGCUGAGGCACGAAAGCGUGGGUAGCAAACAGGAUUAGAUACCCUGGUAGUCCACGCUGUAAACGAUGAUUACUAGGUGUGGGGGGUCUGACCCCUUCCGUGCCGGAGUUAACACAAUAAGUAAUCCACCUGGGGAGUACGGCCGCAAGGUU
rnacentral:rRNA from 1 species